UACGUAGGUGGCGAGCGUUGUCCGGAUUUACUGGGCGUAAAGAGCGCGCAGGCGGUCGUUCAAGUCGCGUGUGAAAGCCCCCGGCUCAACUGGGGAGGGUCACGCGAUACUGAUCGACUCGAAGGCAGGAGAGGGUAGUGGAAUUCCAGGUGUAGUGGUGAAAUACGUAGAUAUCUGGAGGAACACCGGCGGCGAAGGCGGCUCACUGGCCAUACAUUGACACUGAAGCACGAAAGCGUGGGGAGCAAACAGG
rnacentral:rRNA from 1 species